rnacentral:rRNA from 1 species
UACGGAGGGUGCAAGCGUUGUCCGGAUUUAUUGGGUUUAAAGGGUGCGUAGGCGGAUUGUUAAGUCAGUGGUGAAAGUCUGCGGCUCAACCGUAGAAGUGCCAUUGAUACUGGCAGUCUUGAGUACAGUAGAGGUAGGCGGAAUUUAUGGUGUAGCGGUGAAAUGCAUAGAUACCAUAAAGAACACCUAUAGCGAAGGCAGCUUACUAUGCUGUAACUGACGCUGAGGCACGAAAGCGUGGGGAGCGAACAGG